rnacentral:rRNA from 1 species
GUGUCAGCAGCCGCGGUAAUACAGAGGGUGCGAGCGUUAAUCGGAUUUACUGGGCGUAAAGCGUGCGUAGGCGGCUUUUUAAGUCGGAUGUGAAAUCCCCGAGCUUAACUUGGGAAUUGCAUUCGAUACUGGGAAGCUAGAGUAUGGGAGAGGAUGGUAGAAUUCCAGGUGUAGCGGUGAAAUGCGUAGAGAUCUGGAGGAAUACCGAUGGCGAAGGCAGCCAUCUGGCCUAAUACUGACGCUGAGGUACGAAAGCAUGGGGAGCAAACAGGAUUAGAUACCCUAGUAGUCC